rnacentral:rRNA from 1 species
GAUGAACGCUGGCGGCGUGCUUAACACAUGCAAGUCGAACGAAGCACUUUUGAUUGAUUUCCUCGGAAAGAUUUCACUUGUGACUGAGUGGCGGACGGGUGAGUAACGCGUGGGUAACCUGCCUCAUACAGGGGGAUAACAGUUAGAGAUGACUGCUAAUACCGCAUAAGCGCACAGUAUCGCAUGAUACAGUGUGAAAAACUCCGGUGGUAUGAGAUGGACCCGCGUCUGAUUAGCUAGUUGGUGAGGUAACGGCCCACCAAGGCGACGAUCAGUAGCCGACCUGAGAGGGUGACCGGCCACAUUGGGACUGAGACACGGCCCAAACUCCUACGGGAGGCAGCAGUGGGGAAUAUUGCACAAUGGGCGAAAGCCUGAUGCAGCGACGCCGCGUGAACGAAGAAGUAUUUCGGUAUGUAAAGUUCUAUCAGCAGGGAAGAUAAUGACGGUACCUGACUAAGAAGCACCGGCUAAAUACGUGCCAGCAGCCGCAGUAAGAC